UACGGGGGGCAAGCGUUGUUCGGAAUUACUGGGCGGUAAAGGGCUCGUAGGCGGCCAACUAAGUCGGAUGUGAAAUCCCCAGGCUUAACCUGGGAACUGCAUCUGAUACUGGAUGGCUUGAAUCCGGGAGAGGGAUGCAGAAUUCCAGGUGUAGCGGUGAAAUGCGUAGAUAUCUGGAGGAAUACCGGUGGCGAAGGCGGCAUCCUGGACCGGCAUUGACGCUGACUGAGCAAAGCUAAGGGGAGCAACGGGG
rnacentral:rRNA from 1 species